AGGGUCUGGACUCUGCAAAAACCAGACUUUAAGAUAAAAUCCAUUACUGUUAAAUACCCUCAGCAAUUGAUCAACUGUGUCUCCUGGAUGCUAAACCAAUAAAGGAAACAGGUGCCUUAAAAUCUGUGAUGGAAGAGUGUGGUGUAUGGAAAGAGU